UGAUAACAGGGAGGCCCAAGGCCUAAACUGAAAAAAUUAAAAACAAAAGAAGACCCAAAAACUCCUUAACCCAUGUCCCAAAAGUUCCUUCUUUCCUCAUCCUCACCCAAGACAUUCGCAACUUCCAACGGGAUCUGAAGGCACGGCCGACACUCCUUGUUCAUAGCUGUCCAGAAGCUUAGUUUCGUCAUGACAUCAGCACACUGAUCACCAGAUCUGCGUACUAGGGAUACUCAUUGUCUACAAGGAGCUACAGCUUCUCUUACCAUUCUUACACAGUCAGCAGGCUUCUCCCCUACAACCUCCUUUCCUUUUGGAGCAACAAAAAGCUCCUCAGAAUCAGUUUCCUCUGCUCGAUCCAUCAGAACUCACCUUGAUCCAACCUUCAGCUGGAACUACUCAAACCAUUCUCACUUCUUCCUCUCUUACCUCACCGGGGUUCCUCUGGAAGGAUUUAGCUUUAACUAUGUCCGUUGCAAAGCUCCAGAUUUGCCAACCUUCCAGAUCCUUUCUUUGAUGUUCGAAGAUCUGCAAAUUACGCUGCUUCCAGAUUCUCUAGCAAGCUCCACCAAACACAAACAUUCCACGAUUCUGUGUCCUUAUCCUCCUGUGGAAAGAUUGUUCAUUUUCUCUUCAUUAUUUUGUUCCUCGUCAAAUUAAAAAAACAAGGAGGUUUCUUUGUUAAACAACAUUGAAAUCUCUACUAAAAGAGUUUGUGUGCUUUACUUCUGCUGUGAAGAAUCUUUUCAUUUUUUUUGUUUAUCACUUAGGAUUGCUCCACAUUUAAAAAACAAAAAAAAAAAAGAAAAGAAAAAGAAAAGGAGGUCUUUGUCCAGCAACAUUGAAGUCUCACCAAAAAAAAAACGAUUUACUGUUCUUCUGCUCUGAAGGAUCUU